rnacentral:rRNA from 1 species
GACGAACGCUGGCGGCGUGCCUAAUACAUGCAAGUAGAACGCACAGUUUAUACCUUCGCUUGCUUCACCAUACACUGUGAGUUGCGAACCGGUGAGUAACGCGUCGGUAACCUGCCUGAUAGCUGGGGAAAACUAUUGAAAACGAUAGCUAAUACCGCAUAAUGUUGAUUAGUGCAUGAUAAUUGACUGAAAGAUGCUAUUGCAUCACUACCAGGUUGACUUGCGUUGUAUUAGCUAGUAGGUGCGGUAACGGCUCACCUAGGUGACGAUACAUAGCCGACCGGAUAGGGUGGUCGGCCACACUGGGACGGAGAAACGGCCCAGAGCCCCACGGGAGGCAGCAGUAGGGAAUCGUCGGCAAUGGACGAAAGUCUGACCGAGCAACGCCGCGUGAGUGAAGAAGGUUUUCGGGUCGUAAAGCUCGGUUGUAAGAGAAGAAAGGGUGUGAGAGUGGAAAGUUCACACUGUGACGGUAUCUGACCAGAAAGGGACGGCUAACUACGUG